GUCAUUGCUGAAUUCACACCAUGUUGUGUUUUUUUUCCCCUAGCCACAGAGAAGCCUCAGCUAUUUUUUGCACUUUGUCCAAAUCUGCAGCGGUAGAUAAUUUAACAAGUGGACAUGAUCUGCAGGAUGUCUCCGAUUUGUAGCUUCCAACAAAAUGUCACAGAAGAAUCAACGUGUUUACAGCAGGACUUGGACGGAGAGGGCCAAGGAUUUGUCCUAAUCUUGAUAAUCAUGACAGCUCCUAUCUGCAACUGGCCUAAACAUCGUCCUUAUCAGAAGUGAUGAAUUAAUAUUUGUCAAAUGUAACGUCAGUUUCCAGCGUAGGAGCUCUGAUCUACAUCACACUUGAAAGUACAGCUGUUUGCUCCCUGAAAUUCUUGGAAGGAAAACUGUGUUUCCUCAUGCCCACAGCAGGUGAUGUUAGGUGGAGCUUUAAGCUCUGUUGAACCUAAACUCAGCUUUAGAGUUAUCAGGCUUUAUCGUGCGGCCUUUCAAAGAAAAGCUUUUGUUUUAAACACCCCUGGAUUGCAGGAUCUCUUGUCUGAUUGUGAUCACCUCUGUCUCCGUAUCAUUUCACCCCAGCUCCGAGACUGACUUUGAGAUUUUGAUGCUGACAGACGUGUUGACAGCAGAUCAGGAUGGUGAGAUAAGCAGGGGCGAAGACGAGGACAGACGGGUGUGGUCCAGCCCAGAGUCUCUCUCUCUCUCUCUCUCUAAUUUCAUACCUGCAGACAGGUGGUUGGCAGGGCAGAACACGCACAUGAGACUGGAGGAGGCAGUCAGAGGGCAGGCGGGAAUAAGGAAGACCUUCAGAGCAGAUCAAAGGAGGUCACGCUGUUCUCCUUUCAAUUCAUCUCUCCCUCCUCUCCCCUCUUCCCCCCCGCUCCUCACCCAUUCCCUCCUCCACUGAUCUGAAAACGAUAAAUUUCAGGGAAGUGGUGUGGGAUUACCGGGGUGGGGCAUGUGAUGUGAUGUGUAACUAAGACCAGAACACAAGACUGGGUCUGGGUCACUGCAGCAUGAAAAAAAAACUCUGACGGACAUCGUCUGUUCCGCACACCAACAGGUGACCUUUGUUCGAAUCUCAAAAUACAAAAAUGUUUAGUUGGGACACAACAUUACGGAUGUUUACUUUUAGACAGAAAAUGUUUGUGGCUACUAAAGCAGUCUCUUGGGGGCCACCUGCUGGAGGCGCACUGCUGCAACCAAAGGGGGGAAAAAAACACCAAAAAACAAUAACAGAAUAAAACAAAAUACAAAUAAAUAGUUCUCUGCUCUGCCGGGGCUCCGUGUUGAAAAUAGAACUGAAUCAAACCCCUUCCCCUGUGUCUCAUUAGUUGAUUGACCUGGCCGUGACCCUGUCCUGUGCCGGGGACUAUCACCACACUGUAAUCUGAUCUGAUAUUAUAUUAUAUUUUACUGUUUUCUAUUGUUUUAACUGGUGCCAUUUUACUACUCAUACUGUGAGUGCAGUCAGAAUUUUGAAGUAUUUACACAAAAACCUUAACCUUGUUAUUUUAUUUCAUAUCUUUAUUAUUAUUUAUGGGGAUGGUCAUGUUGGGGGGAGGGGGCUGGCCUUUGGUUAUGUGUAAAAUUAGUGGCUUUUUUACAUCUGGUGGAGAGUCAUUUGUCUUCCACUCUGUUAGUUGUUCUUACGGAACCAACAUAUUUAUGAAAAUUUGUCUACUGAAAAUGUGGCACCAAAACAUUUCCCCUGAUCCACUGAUUUGUGGAUCUUGUUUUAGCAACUUUUUUUGAUUUGCAGCACUGUAGUUCCUCUUUAAAGUUUUCUCUCAGACAGAGACUCAUUGUGACAGCUGAUGUGAAGAGUCUGUCUGUUCUGGCUCAACACCAACGAAAACAGACGUGUGACAUAAUGUAUGUAUCCAGAGCUGGGGGAGACAGGAGGGGCUGAGGACUAGGCGGUGAGUCAUUUCUCCAGUCCAUACCUUUUCAUCACCAGACGAUGUCAGACUAAUAUGUCCGGCUCUUAUCUGGCUCGUAGUUUGUCAAAGAACAAAGUAUCUUUUGAUGUUCAGCUGAUGACGGUUUGAUCAGUUAUUAAACAUUCCAUCUCUGUUUUUAAUCAAAUAAAAACCAGAGGAAGACAAAGUCUUCUGAGACACUGGUUAUAAGGUGAUGAUUUUAAUAACACUGCAUCAUGUGGAGACACGUCUCCCGGGCGUGUCCAACGGCCUUGACGGGUUUUAUCACGAUAUCUCCAUCAAGUGUUCACUGCACUGUGUUUGACUUUUAUCAAAUGAGGUUUUUCAUCGAUAAAGUUUUAAUGUUUGGUUCACCUACAGCCUGACCUCACAUAUCCUCCAAGUAAACACAAUAACUUCUAUGACUGGGUGGUGCAUUCUGGUCCCAGAGACAGAACUGUUCAUUUUUAGAAACCUGUGUACCAGAUUUUUUAUUUUACGGCUUUAUGAUAUUUAAUUUAUGCGGACGCCUCUGCGCGGCCGUAACUCGCGUCCGUGGAGUCGUUACGGCCCUGUUGGACCAAGUGUAUUUAUGACUGCAGUUCCUUUACGUUUCUCUACUGUAAAGGUAUAAUGGCCAGAUGAGUGGUGGUGAAGCCCCCAGACCGUUAUUUACAGCGGUGUUGUACCUCAGAGACACGUAGCCCCCGUUAUGCGACAGAGGCAUGCGGGAAUUAAAUUACGCCUGAAAUUUAGUGAUCCUUCCGAAGAAUAGGUUCCCUUGUUGGAUUGGUUUACCUGCGUUUCAGUGCGAAUGUCCGUAAGAGUAAACGGCAGAAAAAAACAGGUCAAAAGGAGCAAGUGAAGAAUUCCAAAUGAAGUGUCGAGGUGCUGUGAGGCUGCAGUGUGUGGCUGACAUGUUGGCUCCUGUGUUCUGGGCCCAGAAAGAGCCUCAGUGUAGGUUUGGUUAAAGAGGGAACGGAUGAUGUCUAAUUACCUGUUGAGAUGUGGUUUGGACUGAAGCCGCUCUUGUGACAGUGUGUCUUUCUUUUUGAUGAGGAAAUUACAGUCUACUGCCAGGCUCAUAUUCCCUUGAUUUGCAUCAUGAGGUCCUCACCUGCUCCUGCUCCUCUGAAGUGUGUAAUACAGUGGGGGGAAGAAGAAGAAGAAAAAAUCCCCCCUCAUCAGCCCAAUGAGGACGGUUUAUUUUCACUGCCUGGAGGUCUUUGAACCUCACAUUCAGACGGGAGAAAUAUUUUGAUUGUGUUUGAUAAUAACACGCGGCGUUGUGAAAUGGAUCGCACAAGAAGACGUGCAGCCGUACCUGCUCAUUGCUCAGAUAAUCACGUUUUAUCAUCCGCCGAGUGUUUUCACAGAUCAGUUAUGCUGAUGUUUUUAGUAUUAAGGAGUAAGAGCAUGUGUCUGACCUCGGCCGCGUGUGUGUUUGGGGAGGUGGGGGUGAGGGAGAGAGGGCAGAUACAGGGCAGGGGAGAUUAUCAGGCCGCCCUUGAUAACUCACAGGUGGUUGAUCUCAGGGGCUUAGAGUCCGAUCACUGCCUUCUAGUCUGCACAUGCAGCUCGAAAAAAUAUGAAAAAAAAAAGUUUAAAAUAAAUAAUAAAAAAGUUUUAUUUUAGAUCAUCUGACUUGGAACUGUCCAGCCAGGUUUCUGUAGCAGAAACAUCUUCAACCUUUUGAAAUUUAACAGGACGAAAAGCUAAAAGUUAAGUCAUGAAAGUCAAAGAAAAAAGCAACAUCAAUAUCUUUUUACAACAGCUACAUAUAAUGUUACUAAAUCUUUCAAGAAAAACAUUGGUGAAUGUGAAUGAAAUAGUAAAAACAUAAAAGCUAUAAAAGUAGCAAAAACUAGUUGGAAAGUUUUUGAAUUUUUUUAUAUUACUAUACAAAGCAACUAAAUAUUUCAAAUCGAAUAUAUAUUGAUUAGCCUUAACAAAUAAAAACAAAAUCUCCCAAGGGAAAAAAAUGCCUAAAUCGUUAAAAGUGUUAACCGUUUAACAUAGCCAAAAGAAAAAAAAAGAAAAGUAAAUAAAACGUUUUUUUAUUUUUUUAAAGGGGAUUCACUCUUAAUUAUGUUGUAUCUGCUCAAUGCCAAUAAAGACAAUCAUCUUCUAUAUUAUAUGAGCGAAUGGAACCAAAAUUUCAAUACAUUUGACAAACAUGUCCCAAAGCCAGAAUGUCCCUGUAUGACUCAUUGGACCUGUGUUUUGGUCCUCACCCCAAAGGUUCCUAAGACACAGGUGUGUUACCAUAUUCAUGUCCAUGUAAUUCCUGUUUCUGAUGAGGUUCAGUUCAGAGGCAGAGCUCAGGUUCCAGUCUGAAUGUACAGCUUCAGUGUUUAGAAUAAAACAGUCUGUCAAUAGAAAACUGCUGCCUGUUCCUGUGGAGGGUUAGGGGUUAUUGAUGGAAGCUUUAUUGUUUAAGGGAUUGUGUCUAAAUGCCUAAGAAUCCCUGUUUGAUUUACAGUUUAACGGUCUGUUGCUCAACACAUAAAUUACACUAUUACAGAAGAAAAAGUGUGGAGAAAAAAAAAAGAUUUUAUUGCACAAACAAAAUAAGCACUUACCCUCAAUGUCUGUGCAGCACAUUCUUCAGUGACAACAAUUCAUCUUCGAUUUCACACCAUACUUUUCUCCUGUACGACCCCCAUAAAGUGCCUGGGUGAACUAAGACUCUCUGUGGUUGAUGCCGGUGAGAGCGGUGGGGGCCAGAGGGAGAGGGGUUGACAUUUAUGGAUGAGGUUUUCCACCAUCUCUACUAUCUGGUUUUAGGGGCCGUUACUAGCCGAGAGCCCCUCUGUGUGCAGCGGUAAAGGCCGAGUGUGGGGGACUCUGCUGACAGGGUCUGGGGUGGCUGCACUGUAUUCACGGAGGCUCUGUAAACUGCAGCUGUGAUGUGCACAUCCAUCACGGCCCGGCUGCAUGCUGGGCUUAGGGAUGGAGGUGCAUUUGUUAUGCUGACACGGCCAGGGGGGACAAGGGGAGGGGUGGAGAGAGAGGUCAGAAUCAGGGGAACGCUGGAGAGCAAGCUGGGGUCACGAUUAGGGUGUUGGGGUAGAGUGGACACUGUAUUUAAGAUAAGACGAUUAUAGUGAGGUUUAAGGAGGGACGGGGCUCCAUGGCAGCGAGUCUGGUAUCUGCGGAAAUCUCUCCAUUUUAUUUAAGGCUAGGCUUUAUUAACAGAGGAUUUAGGGAACAGGGGAUUUAGUAAAUGUUGCAGAAAAUUUUAGGAAUGCAAUUAACAAAAAAAAAAAAACACAGGGAUCGGGGCCAGGUCAUGGAACACUCCGUAAUAUAUAUCUAUAUCGAUAUACAGGAUAUAUAUAUAUAUAUAUAUAAUUGUUCUUACAAACUUUACUUUAGAUUAAAGAUCAUUUUACUUUUUACUUUGUGUAAGAUGUGCACUCAAUAUUAAUUUUUGUUCUUAAUUAAAUGACUGAAUAUUUUGUUAAAUACAUGUGGUAUAGUUGUAUGACAAUUGGAGUUUUAGUUUUUAGUACUAAACCGGGUGUAACAGCCGUUUAGACACAGACAAGAGAGGAGAAAAAAAAGAAAUGUCUUUAAUGUAUUGACAACGAUGUAAAAAUCAUUGUUUUGCUCGGCUGCUCCAGACUCCACCCUGUAAUCUGGGCAAACCUGGGUGUCUGAAGUUUGCACCAGGCUGGGAGGGUGGAGGAGGCGAACGGGUGAGAGGAGAGGGGGAUACUGACAUCAAAGCAUGGAGAUGAUGGAGGGGGAGGGAGAGAGAGGGAGAGAGAGAGUGAUUAUAGGUCAGGAGUCUGAAAAGACAACAGGUAUUUUUUAGACCUUAUCAUACUCUGGAACUCAGACUUGAUCUGUCUGAGUGAUAGCAAUCUAUGACUCAAGGAACGAGCCACGAUCCUUGGACUGACGGGAUGUCGACGUUCUCGUGGUUUAGUGCAGUGAUUCGUAGCCACAGCAAAUGAUCAGGUUUUAAAAAAUGGUCUGAUUUCACUUAACUGCUCUGAAAACUAUUUUUUGUUACUGCAAAUAAUGUGUCUUUGAUCGUCGAUGUGACAGAAAAAAGAAAGAGUUGAAGAUCUUAGCGCGUCUUUCUUCAAUUCCUGCAGCAUUGUGUUCAACUAAACAGGAGAAAAAUAAACACUUGACUGAAGGAUCUAAAUCACUUCACACCAAAUGUCCGCGGCUGAACAUCUGCUGUGUUUGGCAGCACCGACCUUCUCUCCUCUUUUUGUCUUUGCUCCUCCUCAGCAGUAUGAAAAGCUGUAACUCAUUGGUAACUUUCAAGGAAAUCUGACUUGGAGUAAGGACACAGAGGAGGUGAGUGGGUGUCUGAGUGUAGUGAGUGGGAGGAGGUUACAAACACACCAGCUCCUGCCCCGAGGAAACAACAGGCUUGGAUCAUCACAUAUUCCUCCAAACACAACAGCGUCUGGCUGAAACCUGUGGUUAUUAUGGAUCACAGCUCUGCUGAUUCAGAUAUGAUCUCAUGCUCCUCCGUCCUAAGUAGCUUCUCAAAUUCUUGCUUCUCUGGACACAACGCAGAGAAGAAUUAGGUGUGAGUCCAGUAAAAACAUCUCUAAAAGUGCCUUAAUGGACAUUUAUGAAAACACUUUCCUCAGAGUUAUAUUGUCUAAUGGUAGUCAGCUGUCCCGUUAAUGACUGCCUGACACAUUCUAAAUGUUAAAACGAAAAUUUCAUUAUAAUGUGGCACCAAGUCAGUUAUGAAAGUCAGCUCUAAAAACACACCAGAUAUGAGAAAGAGGAGAGAGAGCAUCCUGAAAGAAAAUGUCUUGUUGGCAAAAAGUUUGAAUGAUUACCAUUUGUAGCUAAUGUACAGUAUAUUCUGACUGUAUUAUACUGUAUUAUAGUCUAUGAUGCAGUUUGACCUUCAGAAUGUGCUGUGUUCAUCAUUGUGGUUCUGGGCCACCGCAUGUACGUUAAUUUGCUGUAAGACACUGGUAAAAUCAAGAACUGUACAGCAUGAGCAUGUCUUUCUUCAAUUCCUGCAGGUUUAUCAGCAUUGUGUUCAACUAAACAGACUGUCAACAAGGAAACUGGGAGUUAUCUGUAACCAGAAGAUCAUUAUAUUUUGCUUCAUAUACUGUUUGCUUCAUAUACAUUUUCGAGACAACUGUAGGUAUGACAAACUGUUAUAGCUCUGAGUGAUUUCUGUCACAGGCUGUAAUGUGUGUAUUUGUGGAGGAAUAGGAAAGUAAAAAUAUAUACUAUCAUUUAUUUGUGUGUGUGUCUCUAUAGCAGUUAAAAACAUGUUUCUUCCAUUGUUAUUACCACUAAUAAGGGAGUUUUUUAGAGUGCCAGAACAGAUUCAUUAAUUAAUUUUUUUUCUGUUACUUCUUAUGGGAAAAAAUGAUUUUAAAUACGAGUAUCUCAAGAUAUUACUGUAUUAGGAAUUUCCCAGCAUCACCUCUAUGUGUCGCCAAAGGCACAACAGCUGUAGAAACGUGCGUACGCUAGCUUUAGAACUGCUGUGACGCUACGUUUUUGUGCGUACGCAAGUUUCGUGCACGAGGACCUUGAACGUGAGAGUGGAAAUGGACGUACGCCAUGUUUUUGUGAUUACGCAACAUGGGGCCCAGGUGAGCAUCCCGACCCACUUCCACCGCAACUUCCUCGGCGAAAGCGUCUUCGACGCCGUAAAAGACUUAGCGCCUAUAUACGGAUAUACUUGGAACGAGCGUGGAUUUUGGCCUCGCGUCUCUGUUCACCGCCGCUCGCUGCACCCUGCCUGGCUGUCACCUGUCCUCGGCCCGCAUGAGCAGUUCCAGCCCCGCGGCCAGUGUUCCCCUCGUCCCUGCUGCCGUGGAGCGAAUCACUGUAACCUGCAACCCUUGUGUCGGGCUUCACUGACGGCUAACGCUGCGGACCCCCCGGGCUCCCACCAGCCGAGACAUGGGACUCACUUUUGGCUAAUGACUGCAGCUAUUUUAAUUCCCCGCGAAUGUCAGGUCGAGGAGGAGGAGCGACUGUUUUCAAGAGUCAUUAUAAAGUUUCCGCCACAUCAUGGACUUGAUGGCUGAUUGGCUGUGAUCAGACAACAUCAGGGGAUCGUCGCUGCAGGGUACGUAAGCUCUACCGUCUCUCUUAUUGCUGCGUGACUCGUUUGACAGACGCUUUACACUGUAGCAUAAGAUAAAAAAAAAAAAUCUACUGUGUAACUGUAAGUUCUGUUGCUGUACCAAAGUAGCCACUGGGAAAAAACGUGAUACUCAACAUAAACACGUGGCAUCUGAACGUGAUCCAAACACAACCGUUAGGAGGCGCAGUAUGUACAGUAUGUGACAAGUGAACACUGGCAGAAAAGGAGGAAUGACGGGAGGAUACAUCACAGAUCGAUGCUCUUCAGUCUGCUCUCAUCGAACUCGCUCUAACUGAACUAAUUCUACUCCGAAUGAACACAAACCUGGAAAGAGAACAGCGCGACAGCAUGCUAACGAGAUCCAGAAAUCACUGUUUACAGCAGGUCAAAAAACAGGCGUUUGUAGAAGAUACCUGACUGGGGUUUUAGGUACAUUAGUGUUGCCUGUUUGCAUAUUAGAGCUGGAACAUCUGAAGUCAAUUUAAAAAAUGUCCAAUCAACAGUUUGCACGUGUUGUCAGAGGUCCACUCGGCAGAGACCAACAAGAAAAUCGGAGUAAAAAACAAAAGAAAAGUGUUACUUAUUAAUCAAACAAACCCAGAGAGUUGCGUAGAAAUAUAAAAUGCAGCCACAGAGGCCAACAGGCUUGGACUCUGGGGGUUGGUAUCACAUCGACAUCAUCUGUGCUCCACAGGAAAUGAGCCGAUACCUGCGGUGGCUCGGACCGGCUCUCGCCGCGUUAGCAGCACCGUAGUCAUUUCAAGUGAAAUCAAGGUCGAUCAUGACGAGCACCUCAACGUGACCUGCAUCAAUGUCAGAUUACAUCGACAACAUUGGCUCCAGCAAUGCAUAAACACUGUUUAUCUUCAAAAAAAAAAAAA